rnacentral:lncRNA from 1 species
UCUAAUGAAGCAAGAGGUGUUGAAACAGAUAAGGAACAAGCUCAGUUCAGUGCUGUAUCAGAUCAAGUGGUGGUACAAGUUGAAAACUCAGAAACGAGUUUAGUGCUAGCUUCUACUGAUCAGAUUGUAGAAUACAUUAAUGAGAUAGAGAUUGAACAAUUGUAAUCAUAAAAGGGUGUUGAGCUGAAGGCUCUUUCAAUGCCAGCAAACUUGCCCAUCCACUCUAUGGUAACAAUAGCCAUUGGCUCCAACUCUCAAUCCACUUCACCACCAUUAGCAUGUAUCAUUUCUGCUCCAUCUGAACCUACUAUUGUGGAAGAAAUUCAAUCACCUAUCAUUGUUUCCAAAACCAAUCUGGAAGUAGGAGACAAUUCAUUGGCCUUUACACCUACACAUGAGAGCCCCUCUCACAAUCAUACUGAGUAACCGAAUGUGCAGGAUGAUGAAGAUGGAUUAAUGAGGGAUGCUAUGGCAAAUCUCAAUACGUCAAGAGGUGGGAGACCAAUAAAAUCACUUCAAAAGUAUUAAGAUGUGGAUUGGAACACAAUAGGAGGGAAGGGUAAACGAAGUCGCCGAGGUCGAGGGUACCAUACUGCCUAGUGUUUCAUUUUCUUGUUUCACUAAGCUUAUGUUCAAUAAGUUUCUCUUUUCUAAGUUCAUGCUUAGCUGAAUAUGAGGAUUGUCUCAUCUUGGUUUCUAAAACUUUAUGGUUUUAAAGCCAUACCUUGUAUGUUUUUAUAUCUUUAAUUUGAAUGCAUUUUUCAAAAAAAAAAAAACAAAUAGAGUGGUCGAAUAAUCCCAUAUUAAAAAAUAUCAAAUAUGAUUUGGUGUGUAGCUACAUUUAUUUAUAAAAUUAUAAAACCAUAUCAAAUAUAUCCUUUUUUAAUCAGUAAUUUGAAACAGAUCUUACAAAUAUUUAUGUGAUCAUUUCUAUGUUGUAGGGCUAACGUGUAUAUAAGUUUUUUUUAUAACAAAAAGCAUUAAAAAUUAACCUUUUUGCAUAGCAAUAAUGUUUUAAUAACAAAAACACCACAAAAGUUUUACCAAAAAACCCCACAAAAGUUACUAAUCCCAAAAAGUUUUAAGGUCCACUCGUAACAAGUCCGACUUAAUUUUUUUCUGCAAUACGUUCAGAUAGCAUAAUCUUAUGACAGCUGUGGAUAACGUUCACACGUGAGGUAGAUUUUUCGACGGUCAACACGUGGUAGAAAUACAUAUAGUCUCGCCUUUCUCUCUUCUCUAUAAAUGGCGUAUGUCGAGACUAAAGCCAACGAAAAGUUACAUUUGCCUAGUACAAAAAAUAAUCCACAUUCGUCUUUACGUAGUAGAAAAAGAAAAUGGCAUCUCCUGUGAUUUACAACGGAGAAAAGCCCCAUGUAAUUUGCGUACCUUAUCCGGCUCAAGGGCACAUCAAUCCCAUGCUGAAAGUGGCUAAACUCCUCCACGCCAGAGGCUUUCACG